AACCUCCGCAAUGUGAGAAAUCGCGACGGGGGGAUCCCAAGUGCCAUUCUUAACGGGAUGGCUUUUCAUUAGUGUAAAAAGCCUUUGGAAUAAGAGCUGGGCAAGACCGGUGCCAGCCGCCGCGGUAACACCGGCAGCUCUAGUGGUAGCAAUUUUUAUUGGGCCUAAAGCGUCCGUAGCCGGUUUAAUAAGUCUCUGGUGAAAUCCUGUAGCUUAACUGUGGGAAUUGCUGGAGAUACUAUUAGACUUGAGACCGGGAGAGGUUAGAGGUACUCCCAGGGUAGAGGUGAAAUUCUGUAAUCCUGGGAGGACCGCCUGUUGCGAAGGCGUCUAACUGGAACGGUUCUGACGGUGAGGGACGAAAGUUAGGGGCGCGAACCGGAUUAGAUACCCGGGUAGUCCUAACUGUAAACGAUGCGGACUUGGUGUUGGGGUGGCUUUGAGCUGCUCCAGUGCCGAAGGGAAGCUGUUAAGUCCGCCGCCUGGGAAGUACGGUCGCAAGACUGAAACUUAAAAGGAUU
rnacentral:rRNA from 1 species